rnacentral:misc_RNA from 1 species
AACGCACAUUGCACCCGGUGGUAUUCCGCCGGGUAUGCCUGUCUGAGCGUCAUUUCUACCCUCAAGCCUUAGCUUGGUGUUGGCGGACCUUACCCCCCCAGCGGGGUAACCGCUGAAAAUGAAUGGCGGUAGCACACUUGUCCCCUGUACAGUACAAUUCUUACAGCGGUCAUGUGGACCAACCAGCCCGCAACCCAAAAAGAAAUAGCAAAGUUGACCUCAGAUCAGGUAGGAAUACCCGCUGAACUUAA